UGAGCAGGCCAGGCAAUCGCGGGUCAUGUCUGCCGAACGUUCCCAAUCCUUUGGCCUUCCAGCCCUGCGUGCAGGCGGGCCAGGAGAAGGGGCAGCCGGCUGCUGACUCGAGGAAAGUCCGAACUCCACAGAGCAGGAUGCUGGCUAACGGCCAGUGGGGGUGACCCCAAGGAAAGUGCCACAGAAACGAUACCGCCCGCCGGCUGAGAGGCCGUUGCGGGUAAGGGUGAAAUGGUGGGGUAAGAGCCCACCGGCAGGCGGGUGACCGUCUGGCCGGGCAAACCCCAUCCGGAGCAAGACCGAGCAGAGGGAGUAGCAUCCCCGCUCGUGGGCUGCGCUGGAGGCUACGAGCGCAGGGAUGCUCGCAGGUUGCUCGCCUGUUACCCCUCGGGUUGGUCGCUAGAGGCGGCGGGUAACCGUCGUCCCAGAGAGAUGAUUGCCGCCCGGGUCACCGCAAGGUGGCACGGGAACAGAAUUCGGCUUACGGCCUGCUCAGACC
rnacentral:RNase_P_RNA from 1 species